GGGGGGGCCUUAAACUUGCAAGUUCGAGCGGUAACAUUUCUAGCUUGCUAGAAGAUGACGAGCGGCGGACGGGUGAGUAAUGCUUGGGAAUAUGCCUUAGGGUGGGGGACAACAGUUGGAAACGACUGCUAAUACCGCAUAACGUCUACGGACCAAAGGGGGCUUCGGCUCUCGCCCUUAGAUUAGCCCAAGUGGGAUUAGCUAGUUGGUGAGGUAAUGGCUCACCAAGGCGACGAUCCCUAGCUGGUUUGAGAGGAUGAUCAGCCACACUGGAACUGAGACACGGUCCAGACUCCUACGGGAGGCAGCAGUGGGGAAUAUUGCACAAUGGGCGCAAGCCUGAUGCAGCCAUGCCGCGUGUGUGAAGAAGGCCUUAGGGUUGUAAAGCACUUUCAGUAAGGAGGAAAGGUUAGUAGUUAAUACCUGCUAGCUGUGACGUUACUUACAGAAGAAGCACCGGCUAACUCCGUGCCAGCAGCCGCGGUAAUACGGAGGGUGCGAGCGUUAAUCGGAAUUACUGGGCGUAAAGCGUACGCAGGCGGUUUGUUAAGCGAGAUGUGAAAGCCCCGGGCUCAACCUGGGAACUGCAUUUCGAACUGGCAAACUAGAGUAUGAUAGAGGGUGGUAGAAUUUCAG
rnacentral:rRNA from 1 species